rnacentral:rRNA from 1 species
UACGUAGGGUGCGAGCGUUUAAUCGGAAUUACUGGGCGUAAAGCGUGCGCAGGCGGUGAUGUAAGACAGGUGUGAAAUCCCCGGGCUUAACCUGGGAACUGCAUUUGUGACUGCAUCGCUGGAGUGCGGCAGAGGGGGAUGGAAUUCCGCGUGUAGCAGUGAAAUGCGUAGAUAUGCGGAGGAACACCGAUGGCGAAGGCAAUCCCCUGGGCCUGCACUGACGCUCAUGCACGAAAGCGUGGGGAGCAACAGG